rnacentral:rRNA from 1 species
ACUCCUACGGGAGGCAGCAGCUAAGAAUCUUCCGCAAUGGGCGAAAGCCUGACGGAGCGACGCCGCGUGGGUGAUGAAGGCCUAACGGUUGUAAAGCCCUUUUCUGUGUGAGGAAUAAUGCUGGGAGGCAAUGCCCGGCAGAUGACGGUAGCACAGGAAUAAGCCCCGGCCAAUUACGUGCCAGCAGCCGCGGUAACACGUAUGGGGCGAGCGUUGUUCGGAAUUAUUGGGCGUAAAGGGCGCGUAGGCGGCCACGUAAGCCUGGUGUGUAAGACCGCAGCUCAACUGCGGGAGCGCGCUGGGAACUGUGUGGCUGGAGUUCAGGAGGGGAAGUUGGAAUUCCUGGUGUAGGGGUGAAAUCUGUAGAUAUCAGGAAGAACACCGGCGGCGAAGGCGAACUUCUGGCCUUGAACUGACGCUGAGGCGCGAAAGCGUGGGGAGCAAACAGGAUUAGAAACCCCAGUAGUCC